rnacentral:lncRNA from 1 species
GGGGAGUAUUAUCAUAGGGGGAGAACAUUAAACACAACUUUUUAAUUAUGAUAAAAAAGGGAGAGAAAAUCUUUAAAGCUUAUUUGCUUAUUUGUAUUAAUUCCCUAAUGCUCUUUCCUUCCAUAAGUUAUGUUUUUAUCCAAAUUAUCACUAAAAGCUUUAAAUCAAAGAAGUUUUUUAUCAUCAUCAAAAAGGGGGAGAAUGUUAGAAAAAUGAUGAAGA